rnacentral:rRNA from 1 species
CCUACGGGUGGCUGCAGUGGGGAAUAUUGGACAAUGGGCGCAAGCCUGAUCCAGCAAUACCGCGUGUGUGAAGAAGGCCUUAGGGUUGUAAAGCACUUUCAAUGGGGAGGAAAACCUACCGGUCAAUACCCGGUAGCUUGACAUUACCUGUAGAAGAAGCACCGGCUAACUCCGUGCCAGCAGCCGCGGUAAUACGGAGCGGACAUGCGUUACUCGGAAUUACUGUAGGUAAAUCGUUAAGUCAGAUGUGAAAGCCCCGGGCUUAACCUGGGAACUGCAUUUGAAACUGGCGGACUAGAGUUGAGUAGAGGGGAGUGGAAUUUCAGGUGUAGCGGUGAAAUGCGUAGAUAUCUGAAGGAACACCAGUGGCGAAGGCGACUCCCUGGACUCAAACUGACGCUGAGGUACGAAAGCGUGGGUAGCAAACAGGAUUAGAUACCCGAGUAGUC